CAGCCGCCGCGGUAAUACCGGCGGCCCGAGUGGCGGUCACUAUUAUUGGGCUUAAAGCGUCCGUAGCCGGGGUGGGAAGUCCUCCGGGAAAUCUGGCCGCUUAAAGGUCAGAAUGCCGGAGGAUACUCCCAGCCUAGGGAGCGGGAGAGGCCGAGGGGAUUCCCGGGGUAGGGGGGAAAUCCUAUAAUCCCGGGAGGACCUACUGUGGCGAAGGCGCUCGGCUGGAACGCGUCCGACGGUGAGGGACGAAGGCCAGGGGAGCAAACCGGAUUAGAUACCCGGGUAGUCCUGGCUGUAAACGAUGCGGACUUUGUGUCGGACAAGCUAUGAGCUUGUCCGGUGCCGGAGGGAAACCGUUAAGUCCGCCGCCUGGGGAGUACGGCCGCAAGGCUGAAACUUAAAGGAAUUGGCGGG
rnacentral:rRNA from 1 species